GUAACACGUAGGCAACCUGCCUGUAAGACUGGGAUAACUCGCGGAAACGCGAGCUAAUACCGGAUAAUACUUAUCAUCUCCUGAUGGUAAGUUGAAAGGCGGCUUUUGCUGUCACUUACAGAUGGGCCUGCGGCGCAUUAGCUAGUUGGUGGGGUAACGGCUCACCAAGGCGACGAUGCGUAGCCGACCUGAGAGGGUGAUCGGCCACACUGGGACUGAGACACGGCCCAGACUCCUACGGGAGGCAGCAGUAGGGAAUCUUCCGCAAUGGACGAAAGUCUGACGGAGCAACGCCGCGUGAGUGAUGAAGGUUUUCGGAUCGUAAAACUCUGUUGUCGGGGAAGAACAAGUAUGAUAGUAACUGAUCGUACCUUGACGGUACCCGACCAGAAAGCCACGGCUAACUACGUGCCAGCAGCCGCGGUAAUACGUAGGUGGCAAGCGUUGUCCGGAAUUAUUGGGCGUAAAGCGCUCGCAGGCGGUUCUUUAAGUCUGAUGUGAAAUCUUGCGGCUCAACCGUAAACGUGCAUUGGAAACUGGAGGACUUGAGUGCAGAAGAGGAGAGUGGAAUUCCACGUGUAGCGGUGAAAUGCGUAGAGAUGUGGAGGAACACCAGUGGCGAAGGCGACUCUCUGGUCUGUAACUGACGCUGAGGAGCGAAAGCGUGGGGAGCGAACAGGAUUAGAUACCC
rnacentral:rRNA from 1 species